rnacentral:rRNA from 1 species
UACGGAAGGCAGCAGUGGGGAAUAUUGCACAAUGGGCGCAAGCCUGAUGCAGCCAUGCCGCGUGUAUGAAGAAGGCCUUCGGGUUGUAAAGUACUUUCAGUCGUGAGGAAGGUGUUAAGGUUAAUAACCUUAGCAAUUGACGUUAGCGACAGAAGAAGCACCGGCUAACUCCGUGCCAGCAGCCGCGGUAAUACGGAGGGUGCGAGCGUUAAUCGGAAUUACUGGGCGUAAAGGGCACGCAGGCGGUUAAUUAAGUUGGAUGUGAAAUCCCCGGGCUUAACCUGGGAAUGGCAUUCAGACUGGUUAGCUAGAGUCUUGUAGAGGGGGUAGAAUUCCAUGUGUAGCGGUGAAAUGCGUAGAGAUGUGGAGGAAUACCGGUGGCGAAGGCGGCCCCUGGACAAAGGACUGACGCUCAUGUGCGAAAGCGUGGGGAGCAAAC